rnacentral:sRNA from 1 species
AUAUGUUAUAUUGUUUUAUUCAUAAAAUCUAAAAUCAUUCCUAAAAUCACGGCAUACUUAUUAACAGUGGCAAAGCUAGAACUUUCUGUUAUGGGGUCUAAAAUAUAU